UUUCCUCAAUAACUAAUUUAUUGACCGGAUUAUUAUAACUGCGUGCUUCAUCGGUGAUCAGCUGACAAUUUCCUCCGGGACUGUCAAUAAACACCCCAAAAUCCCCCAACAAGUUGAGAAGAUAAUGGUUUGGAGGCUCCUAUCAAAUUCUGAAAUACCCGUUUGUCUCUUUUCACUUUCAGAUUCGAAGCUCUGUCUGGUUCUGCUCUAAGCACUUCAACAAGUAAAAUUAGCUUUGGGUUUUGCCCAAACUUUCAAGAGAAGGAAACUCAAGGAGUUGCUUGAAAACAAACUUGCGUUCGAUGGGAAUUCCAGCAAAACGUUGCCGUUGAUGGGAUGUACUUUGAAGAUGUUGAUGAGUUUGCUCCUAUGGUUGAGAUGCUGGAUGAACCGAGUUCUAGUGUGGCGCCAGCAGUUGAACACUUAUUUCUCUCAUUCCCUACCAUUCAACAUCUACAGUUUCACCCUAUGGUUGAGAUGUUGGACACCCAAGUUGCAGUGAAAC